CCUACGGGUGGCAGCAGUGGGGAAUAUUGCGCAAUGGGCGAAAGCCUGACGCAGCGACGCCGCGUGAGGGAUGAAGGUCUUCGGAUCGUAAACCUCUGUCAGCAGGGAAGAACGGUCACUGUGCUAAUCAGCAGUGAAUUGACGGUACCUGCAAAGGAAGCACCGGCUAACCCCGUGCCAGCAGCCGCGGUAAUACGGAGGGUGCGAGCGUUAAUCGGAAUUACUGGGCGUAAAGCGCUCGUAGGCGGUAUGUCAAGUCAAGGGUGAAAUCCCCGCGCUCAACGUGGGAACUGCCUUUGAAACGGGCAAACUGGAGUGUGUGAGAGGAUAGUGGAAUUCCAGGUGUAGGAGUGAAAGCCGUAGAUAUCUGGAGGAACAUCAGUGGCGAAGGCGACUAUCUGGCACAUAACCGACGCUGAGGAGCGAAAGCGUGGGUAGCAAACAGGAUUAGAUACCCGGGUAGUC
rnacentral:rRNA from 1 species